AACGAACGCUGGCGGCAUGCCUAACACAUGCAAGUCGAACGAGACCUUCGGGUCUAGUGGCGCACGGGUGCGUAACGCGUGGGAACCUGCCCUUAGGUUCGGAAUAACUCACCGAAAGGGGUGCUAAUACCGGAUAAUGUCUUCGGACCAAAGAUUUAUCGCCUUUGGAUGGGCCCGCGUUGGGUUAGCUAGUUGGUAGGGUAAACGCCUACCAAGGCGACGAUCCAUAGCUGGUCUGAGAGGAUGAUCAGCCACACUGGGACUGAGACACGGCCCAGACUCCUACGGGAGGCAGCAGUGGGGAAGAUUGGACAAUGGGCGAAAGCCUGAUCCAGCAAUGCCGCGUGAGUGAUGAAGGCCGUAGGGUUGUAAAGUUCUUUUACCCGGGAUGAUAAGGACAGGACCGGGAGAAUGAGCUCCGGCUAACUCCGUG
rnacentral:rRNA from 1 species